UAUGGUGGUUGUCAAAGGCUUAUUUUUUGCGAUGGUUCUUCCCUCCCGACAAAAAAUAUUUUUUUUUAAUUUUUGUUUUGUGAUGGACAUCAUUGCGCCAUCGCUAAUAGCCACAAAACACCCAAAAGUCCCAUAUUCUCAAACGCUUGGUGGCUUUGAUAUUUUCGUUUUACCCUCUCUCUCUCUCUCUCUCUCCAUCUUUCAACUAUGAGUUCACCCCCACCGGCAUUAGUUUGUUGAUCCACCUUCACUAAGCUGACAUCGUCUCCUACUCUCUCUCAAUCUCGCCAUCGAUCUCGGUCAGUACAUGGAUAUCACCUCUCUAAGAGCUUUAGGAUUCUUCAGCGUUCAAUCAGUACCUCUCAAGUUUCAUUAUAGGAAGAGACGGAGAGGAUAAACAUCCCCUAGAAAUACUCUGUUUUUGCUCUGUUUCCAUUUUAUUACAGUAGGGCAGAACCUCAAAACAGUGGUCAGCCGGCCGGCCACUCCAUUUUAGGUAGGUAGUGUCAUUUUCAUGAUAGAACAGAGCA